rnacentral:snRNA from 2 species
UGCCUGCUCCAGAAGCUCAUAUACAAAAUUGGAGCGAUACAGAGAAGAUUAGCAUGGCCCCUGUGCAAGGAUGACAUGCAAAUUUGUGAAGUGUUCCAUAUUUUU